UGUUUUUUUUUUUUUUUUUUUUUUGCCUUCCGCUUCUCCAUCUG
rnacentral:ribozyme from 1 species